GAUGAACGCUGGCGGCGUGCCUAAUACAUGCAAGUCGAGCGAACAGACGAGGAGCUUGCUCCUCUGACGUUAGCGGCGGACGGGUGAGUAACACGUAGAUAACCUACCUAUAAGACUGGGAUAACUUCGGGAAACCGGAGCUAAUACCGGAUAAUAUAUUGAACCGCAUGGUUCAAUAGUGAAAGACGGUUUUGCUGUCACUUAUAGAUGGAUCCGCGCCGCAUUAGCUAGUUGGUAAGGUAACGGCUUACCAAGGCAACGAUGCGUAGCCGACCUGAGAGGGUGAUCGGCCACACUGGAACUGAGACACGGUCCAGACUCCUACGGGAGGCAGCAGUAGGGAAUCUUCCGCAAUGGGCGAAAGCCUGACGGAGCAACGCCGCGUGAGUGAUGAAGGUCUUCGGAUCGUAAAACUCUGUCAUUAGGGAAGAACAAAUGUGUAAGUAACUAUGCACGUCUUGACGGUACCUAAUCAGAAAGCCACGGCUAACUACGUG
rnacentral:rRNA from 1 species